rnacentral:rRNA from 1 species
AUUGAACGCUGGCGGCAGGCCUAACACAUGCAAGUCGAGCGAGCGGCGGACGGGUGAGUAAUGUCUGGGAAACUGCCUUAUCGAGGGGGAUAACUUCUGGAAACGCUUGCUAAUACCUCAUACCAUCAGAUGUGCCCAUAUGGUCUUAGCUAGUAGGUGAGGUAACGGCUCACCUAGGCGACGAUCCCUAGCUGUUCUGAGAGGAUGACCAGCCACACUGGAACUGAGACACGGUCCAGACUCAUACGGGAGGCAGCAGUGGGGAAUAUUGCACAAGGGGCAAAAGCCUGAUGCAGCAAUGCCGCGUGGGUGAAGAAGGCCUUCGGGUUGUAAAGCACUUUGAGCGGGGAAGCGUUACCCGCAGAAGAAGCAACGGCUAACUACGUGCCAGCAGCCGCGGUAAUUC